rnacentral:rRNA from 1 species
GCAAGUCGAGGGGCAGCAUUACCGCUUGCGGUAGAUGGCGACCGGCGCACGGGUGCGUAACGCGUAUGCAACCUACCUUUUACUGAGGGAUAGCCCGAAGAAAUUCGUAUUAAUACCUCAUAACAUUAUGAUAUCACAUGUUAUUAUAAUUAAAACUCCGGUGGUAAAAGAUGGGCAUGCGUGACAUUAGGUAGUUGGUGAGGUAACGGCUCACCAAGCCGACGAUGUCUAGGGGUUCUGAGAGGAAGGUC